rnacentral:rRNA from 1 species
GACGAACGCUGGCGGCGUGCUUAACACAUGCAAGUCGAACGGAAAGGCCCUGCUUUUGUGGGGUGCUCGAGUGGCGAACGGGUGAGUAACACGUGAGUAACCUGCCCUUGACUUUGGGAUAACUUCAGGAAACUGGGGCUAAUACCGGAUAGGAGCUCCUGCUGCAUGGUGGGGGUUGGAAAGUUUCGGCGGUUGGGGAUGGACUCGCGGCUUAUCAGCUUGUUGGUGGGGUAGUGGCUUACCAAGGCUUUGACGGUUAGCCGGCCUGAGAGGGUGACCGGCCACAUUGGGUCUGAGUUACGGCCCAGACUCCUACGGGCGGGAGGAGUGGGGAAUAUUGCACAAUGGGCGGAAGCCUGAUGCAGCAACGCCGCGUGCGGGAUGACGGCAUUCGGGUUGUAAACCGCUUUCGCCUGUGACGAAGCGUGAGUGACGGUAAUGGGUAAAGAAGCACCGGCUAACUACGU